UACGAAGGGGGCUAGCGUUGUUCGGAAUUACUGGGCGUAAAGAGCUCGUAGGCGGUCUGUCGCGUCUGCUGUGAAAACUCAGGGCUUAACCCUGAGCUUGCAGUGGGUACGGGCAGACUAGAGUGCGGUAGGGGAGACUGGAAUUCCUGGUGUAGCGGUGAAAUGCGUAGAUAUCAGGAGGAACACCGGUGGUGUAGGCGGCUCUCUGGACCGUAACUGACGCUGAGACACGAAAGCGUGGGUAGCAAACAGG
rnacentral:rRNA from 1 species